UCAAUAAAUAUUUUUUUUAAUUUUUUUUAAAAUUUUUAAUUUUUUUUUGUCAUCUACGGCCUCGUUUGAUUGCCCUGAGAGUGCCGAGUAUGAUAGGGUUGUUCAAACCAGUUUUGCAUGAUAGUGCUAUGACAUACAUAUCCCAGUUCGAUGUUUGGUUGGCCUGCUAGUCCAUCUCAGAUAACUUAUACAGACUUUGAUUUGGCUUACAGAAACUACUGAUAGCAGCAGUAAUGGACAAAUAUGCCCUCAUUAACAUUUUCUAUUGAUGAAUUCAUCCUUGGAAACCCUAUGUCAUCCUCACCAAAAAUUAAACUGGCGCGCGCCCCUCACAUAUUUUCAGCUCACCCAAGGUCGCAGCUUGGUCGCGAUUUGAUUACCGCAAAUCAAAGGCCGAUCAUCGUGUCGAGUUCAACUAUACCGACGGAGGAGUGAAGAUGCAAAAUCAACAAAGUUGUCAUUUCAUGAUGCCUACCAUCACCUUGUUGAAGCAAUACAUACAUUUGCAAGUCACUGAAAGUGAAGAUGCUCGACAAAGUCCAGGAUGAAAGCUCUCGAGAAGAACAUCAAUGGAGGAUCAUCCUAGAUCACUGAACAAAUUCUGGAUCGGGUCAUGCCUCAUGUUCGUCUUCUGGUAUCUCAUAAUCUACGCCUACGAUUGGUCGUCUCUUU